rnacentral:rRNA from 1 species
CCUACGGGAGGCAGCAGUGAGGAAUAUUGGUCAAUGGACUAGAGUCUGAACCAGCCAAGUAGCGUGAAGGACGACUGCCCUAUGGGUUGUAAACUUCUUUUAUAUGGGAAUAAAAUGUUCCACGUGUGGGAUUUUGUAUGUACCAUAUGAAUAAGGAUCGGCUAACUCCGUGCCAGCAGCCGCGGUAAUACUGAGGAUCCGAGCGUUAUCCGGAUUUUUUGGGUUUAAAGGGAGCGUAGGUGGAUUGUUAAGUCAGUUGUGAAAGUUGGCGGCUCAACCGUAAAAUUGCAGUUGAAACUGGCAGUCUUGAGUACAGGAGAGGUGGGCGGAAUUCGUGGUGUAGCGGUGAAAUGCGUAGAUAUCACGAAGAACUCCGAUUGCGAAGGCAGCUCACUGGACUGCAACUGACACUGAGGCUCGAAAGUGUGGGUAUCAAACAGGAUUAGAUACCCGGGUAGUC